rnacentral:rRNA from 1 species
GACGAACGCUGGCGGCGUGGAUUAGGCAUGCAAGUCGAACGGUAUCAUCCUUUCGGGGGUGAGAGAGUGGCGAACUGGUGAGUAACACGUAGGUUAUCUACCCUCAAGACGGGGACAACCCAGGGAAACUUGGGCUAAUACCGGAUGUGAGCAACUUUUAGUUGUUUGAAAGGUGGCGUAAGCUGUCGCUUGGGGAUGAGCCUGCGUCCUAUUAGUUAGUUGGUGAGGUAACGGCUCACCUAGGCAAUGAUAGGUAGGCGGCCUUAACGGGUGGUCGCCCACACUGGGAUUGAGAUACGGCCCAGACUCCUACGGGAGGCAGCAGUCGAGAAUAGUCUACAAUGGUCGGAAGACUGAUAGUGCGACGCCGCGUGAACGAUGAAUCCCUUCGGGGUGUAAAGUUCUUUUAUAUGUGAGCAGUGCUUCUUAUAUUAACAGUAUGGGGAGAGAGAUAUUAGCAUAUGAAUAAGCAACGGCUAACUCCGUGCCAGCAGCCGC